GCCCAGAUGGUGAAAUUGGUAGACACGCUGUCUUCAGGUGGCAGUGCUUCAUGGCGUGCAGGUUCGAGUCCUGUUCUGGGCA
rnacentral:tRNA from 2 species